AUUGAACGCUGGCGGCAGGCCUAACACAUGCAAGUCGAGCGGAUGAAGGGAGCUUGCUCCUGGAUUCAGCGGCUGACGGGUGAGUAAUGCCUAGGAAUCUGCCUGGUAGUGGGGGAUAACGUCCGUAAACGGGCGCUAAUACCGCAUACGUCCUGAGGGAGAAAUUGGGGGAUCUUCGGACCUCACGCUAUCAGAUGAGCCUAGGUCGGAUUAGCUAGUUGGUGGGGUAAAGGCCUACCAAGGCGACGAUCCGUAACUGGUCUGAGAGGAUGAUCAGUCACACGGGAACUGAGAAACGGUCCAGACUCCUACGGGAGGCAGCAGUGGGGAAUAUUGGACAAUGGGCGAAAGCCUGAUCCAGACAUGCCGCGUGUGUGAAGAAGGUCUUCGGAUUGUAAAGCACUUUAAGUGGGGAGGAAGGGCAGUAAGUUAAUACCUUGCUGUUUUGACGUUACCAACAGAAUAAGCACCGGCUAACUUCGUG
rnacentral:rRNA from 1 species